ACCUCUCCCAAUUCCACUAACCGAAGAAGAAAAAAUGUCUCUCAAAUUCUCAUUUUCUCUCCUUCUAUUUUCCCUAAUCUCCACUCUCUCUACCGCCCAAUUCGGCGGUACUGGCUCUGCUCCCGGCGGCACUGGCACUACUCCCGCCGGCACUGGCAGUACUCCCGGCGGCACUGUCACUUCUCCAAGCGGCGUUGGCUCUGCUCCAGGUGGAACUACCGCUGCUCCAGGUGGAACUUCCGCUGCUCCAGCCGGAGGUACUGCUACCGGCGGGGGUGGAGGGGCGACGGUUGAAUUGUGGUGCGUGGCGAAGAACAACGCAGAGGAUACUGCUCUUCAAUCGGCGCUUGAUUGGGCUUGUGGGCCUGGAGGUGCUAAUUGCGGGCCAAUUCAGCCCGGUGGGCCCUGUUAUGAUCCUAAAGAUAUACAGAAAACGGCGUCGUAUGUGUUCAAUGAUUACUUUAUUAAGCAUGGUAUGACUGAAGAUGCUUGUAAUUUUGAUGACAAUGCUGCUCUCAUUUCUAUAAAUCCAAGUCAUAAUGGUUGUAAAUUUCCAUCGAGCAAGAACUCAAGUGGAAGUCCUAGUGGGUCGACGAAUGGGGGAUUAAGUCCAUCCUCAGAAGAUUUGAGUAGCGGCAGUUCUAUUCUCAGAAGGUGGAUGUAUAUCUUGAUGGCGAUCAAUUUGCUGUUUGCAAGUCAGCUUAUUUUCUGAUGACUCGAGAAUUUGAGUCUCGUUCCCACUGUAUGUAGUAUGUAGCGUAAGGCAAUUUUGUUAAGAGCUCUAAAGCUCUAGGUAUUCAAUGUUGGUUCCACGCCCGCCCUCUGCAACAUCGUAGAAGCCAUAAUCGAAGAAAUAUCAUGACGAUACUUCUUCUUGUUUGUUUAUCAUUCAUGUUGGUAUGUAAUCUAACUUUAGAAUGAUGCUGAAGUACUGAAUUAUCAUUGUAAAUCGAGUGUGCUGAUUGUAUUACUAGCUAUUGUGGUUCUUCCUGGAUGCAUGGUGACUUGUUAUUUCAAUUGUAGAGUUAGAGAGAGUCUGCAGGGGUUCAUUUGAACUAUUUUUGCCAUAAAAAAUUGCAUUAUAUAUACAAAGUCG
rnacentral:misc_RNA from 1 species